rnacentral:rRNA from 1 species
GACGAACGCUGGCGGCGUGCCUAAUACAUGCAAGUUGAGCGCUGAAGGUUGGUACUUGUACCAACUGGAUGAGCAGCGAACGGGUGAGUAACGCGUGGGGAAUCUGCCUUUGAGCGGGGGACAACAUUUGGAAACGAAUGCUAAUACCGCAUAAAAACUUUAAACACAAGUUUUAAGAUUGAAAGAUGCAAUUGCAUCCCUCAAAGAUGAUCCCGCGUUGUAUUAGCUAGUUGGUGAGGUAAAGGCUUACCAAAGCGAUGAUACAUAACCGACCUGGAAGGGUGAUCGGCCCAAUCGGGACUGGGAAACGGCCCAAACUCCUACGGGAGGCAGCAGUAGGGAAUCUUCGGCAAUGGACGAAAGUCUGACCGAGCAACGCCGCGGUAGUGAAGAAGGUUUUCGGAUCGUAAAACUCUGUUGGUAGAGAAGAACGUUGGGGAGAGUGGAAAGCUCAUCAAGUGACGGUAACUACCCAGAAAGGGACGGCUAACUACGUG